rnacentral:rRNA from 1 species
GACAGAGGGGGCAAGCGUUGCUCGGAAUUACUGGGCGUAAAGCGCACGUAGGCGGCUUGGUAUGUCGGGUGUGAAAUCCCCGGGCUCAACCUGGGAACUGCAUCCGAAACUGCCUUGCUCGAGUAUGGGAGAGGGAAGUGGAAUUUCCGGUGUAGCGGUGAAAUGCGUAGAUAUCGGAAGGAACAUCAGUGGCGAAGGCGACUUCCUGGACCAAUACUGACGCUCAGGUGCGAAAGCGUGGGGAGCAAACAGG